rnacentral:rRNA from 1 species
UACAGAGGGGGCAAGCGUUGUUCGGAAUUACUGGGCGUAAAGGGCGCGUAGGCGGCCUGUUAAGUCAUACGUGAAAUCCCUCGGCUUAACCGGGGAACUGCGUCUGAUACUGGGUGGCUUGAGUUCGGGAGGGGGAUGCGGAAUUCCAGGUGUAGCGGUGAAAUGCGUAGAUAUCUGGAGGAACACCGGUGGCGAAGGCGGCAUCCUGGACCGAUACUGACGCUGAGGAGCGAAAGCCAGGGGAGCAAACGGG